AGGGUGUAAACGCUGCAGACUUGGUGUUGGAGGCCCUUUGGGGGGCGAUUCAGUGCCGGAGAGAAGUUGUUAAGUCUGCUACUUGGGGAGUACGUCCGCAAGGAUGAAACUUAAAGGAAUUGGCGGGGGAGGCACCGCAACGGGAGGAGCGUGCGGUUUAAUUGGAUUCAACACCGUAAAACUCACCAGGGAAGACUGUUACAUGAAGGCCGAGAUGAAGACUCUGCCAGAUUUUCAGAGAGGAGGUGCAUGGCGUCAGUGACU
rnacentral:rRNA from 1 species